UACGGAGGGUGCUAGCGUUGUUCGGAAUUACUGGGCGUAAAGGGCGCGUAGGCGGCCGUUUGCGUCGGAUGUGAAAGCCCGGGGCUCAACCUCGGAACGGCAUUCGAUACGGGACGGCUGGAGACCGGGAGAGGAGAGUGGAAUAGCCAGUGUAGAGGUGAAAUUCGUAGAUAUUGGCUGGAACACCGGUGGCGAAAGCGGCUCUCUGGCCAGGUUCUGACGCUGAGGCGCGAAAGCGUGGGGAGCAAACAGG
rnacentral:rRNA from 1 species